rnacentral:rRNA from 1 species
CUCCUACGGGAGGCAGCAGUGGGGAAUAUUGGACAAUGGGCGAAAGCCUGAUCCAGCCAUGCCGCGUGAGUGAUGAAGGCCUUAGGGUUGUAAAGCUCUCUUGUCAGGGAAGAUAAUGACGGUACCUGAAGAAUAAGCACCGGCUAACUUCGUGCCAGCAGCCGCGGUAAUACGAAGGGUGCUAGCGUUGUUCGGAAUCACUGGGCGUAAAGCGCGCGUAGGUGGCUUAGCAAGUCAGAGGUGAAAGCCUGGAGCUCAACUCCAGAAUUGCCUUUGAAACUGCAAAGCUAGAGUGUCGGAGGGGAUAGCGGAAUUGCUAAUGUAGAGGUGAAAUUCGUAGAUAUUAGCAGGAACACCGGUGGCGAAGGCGGCUAUCUGGACGACAACUGACACUGAGGCGCGAAAGCGUGGGGAUCAAACAGGAUUAGAUACCCUGGUAGUCCACGCUGUAAACGAUGGGUGCUAGCUGUUCGGGGGUUACCCCUGAGUAGCGCAGCUAACGCGUUAAGCACCCCGCCUGGGGAGUACGGUCGCAAGAUUAAAACUCAAAGAAAUUGACGGGGACCCGCACAAGCGGUGGAACAUGUGGUUUAAUUCGAGGCAACGCGAAGAACCUUACCAGGAUUUGACAUGCCCCUCGCGGACACUUGAAAGAGAGUCCUUCAGCUCGGCUGGAGGGAGCACAGGUGCUGCAUGGCUGUCGUCAGCUCGUGUCGUGAGAUGUUGGGUUAAGUCCCG